rnacentral:rRNA from 1 species
UACGGAAGGCAGCAGUGGGGAAGUAUUGCACAAUGGGCGAAAGCCUGAUGCAGCUAUGCCGCGUGUAUGAAGAAGGCCUUAGGGUUGUAAAGUACUUUCAUCGGGGAGGAAAAAACAAAACUAAUAAUUUUAUUUCUUGACGUUACCCGAAAAAGAAGCACCGGCUAACUCCGUGCCAGCAGCCGCGGUAAUACGGAGGGUGCUAGCGUUAAUCAGAAUUACUGGGCGUAAAGAGCACGUAGGUGGUUUUUUUAAGUCAGAUGUGAAAUCCCUGGGCUUAACCUAGGAACUGCAUUUUGAAACUGAAAUACUAGAGUAUCGUAGAGGGAGGUAGAAUUCUAGGUGUAGCGGUGAAAUGCGUAGAUAUCUGGAGGAAUACCUGUGGCGAAAGCGGCCUCCUAAACGAAUACUGACACUGAGGGUGCGAAAGCGUGGGGAGCAAACAGGGAUUAGAUACC